rnacentral:rRNA from 1 species
AUACGGAGGAUCCGAGCGUUGUCCGGAUUUAUUGGGUUUAAAGGGUGCGCAGGCGGCCAUUUAAGUCAGCGGUUAAAUCGUGGGGCUCAACCCCAUUCUGCCGUUGAUACUGGGUGGCUUGAUUGCGGUCGAGGUUGGCGGAAUUCGUUGUGUAGCGGUGAAAUGCAUAGAUAUGACGAAGAACACCGAUUGCGUAGGCAGCUGACCAGACCGCAAAUGACGCUCAUGCACGAAAGUGCGGGGAUCGAACAGGAUUAGAUACCCUGGUAGUCCACACAGUAAACGAUGAAUACUCGCUGUUUGCGAUAUACAGUAAGCGGCCAAGCGAAAGCAUUAAGUAUUCCACCUGGGGAGUACGCCGGCAACGGUGAAACUUAAAGGAAUUGACGGGG